rnacentral:rRNA from 1 species
GACGAACGCUGGCGGCGUGCUUAACACAUGCAAGUCGAACGGAAAGGCCCUGCUUUUGUGGGGUGCUCGAGUGGCGAACGGGUGAGUAACACGUGAGUAACCUGCCCUUGACUUUGGGAUAACUUCAGGAAACUGGGGCUAAUACCGGAUAGGAGCUCCUGCUGCAUGGUGGGGGUUGGAAAGUUUCGGCGGUUGGGGAUGGACUCGCGGCUUAUCAGCUUGUUGGUGGGGUAGUGGCUUACCAAGGCUUUGACGGGUAGCCGGCCUGAGAGGGUGACCGGCCACAUUGGGACUGAGAUACGGCCCAGACUCCUACGGGAGGCAGCAGUGGGGAAGAUUGCACAAUGGGCGGAAGCCUGAUGCAGUAACGCCGCGUGCGGGAUGACGGCAUUGGGGUUGUAAACCGCUUUCGCCUGUGACGAAGCGUGAGUGACGGUAAUGGGUAAAGAAGCACCGGCUAACUCCGUG